rnacentral:rRNA from 1 species
CAAGGAAUCUUCGGCAAUGGGCGCAAGCCUGACCGAGCAACGCCGCGUGGAGGACGACGGCCUUCGGGUUGUAAACUCCUUUUCUGUGGGAUGAUACGGACAGUACCGCAGGAAUAAGCCCCGGCUAACUCUGUGCCAGCAGCCGCGGUAAUACAGAGGGGGCAAGCGUUGUCCGGACUUACUGGGCGUACAGCGCGCGCAGGUGGUCGGCUAAGUUCGUGGUGACAGCGUGCGGCUCAACCGCACACGGUCCAUGGAGACUGGUCGACUGGAGGCAUCGAGAGGGAUACGGAAUACCCGGUGGAGCGGUGAAAUGCGUAGAGAUCGGGUGGAACACCAGCGGCGAAGGCGGUAUCCUGGCGAUGACCUGACACUGAGGCGCGACAGCGUGGGGAGCAAACGGG